AACUAUGACUCUCUUAAGGUAGCCAAAUCCUC
rnacentral:rRNA from 1 species